rnacentral:rRNA from 1 species
AAAUUAAUAAGCUAUCCAGCCGAAGAUGAGGUAAGUCGUAACAAGGUAAGUGUACCGGAAGGUGCACUUAGACUAC